rnacentral:rRNA from 1 species
CGGGUGAGUAACACGUGGGUAACCUGCCCCGAUGAUUGGGACAACCCGAGGAAACUCGGGCUAAUACCGAAUGUGCCCUACGGCCUCAAGGUCCAAGGGGAAAGGAAGCUUCGGCCUCCGCAUCGGGAUGGGCCCGCGGCCCAUUAGCUUGUUGGUGAGGUAACGGCUCACCAAGGCGACGAUGGGUAGCUGGUCUGAGAGGACGAUCAGCCACACUGGGACUGAGACACGGCCCAG